GCUUGCCAUCAGCCAUCCAGCAGAGGAAGCUGGACAAGCUAAAUGCUACGCUGCAAGCCACAGAGACAAGAGCACGGGAGGCAGAACGUGUGGCCGAGCUAGCCAAGACAGACGCCAGGGACACCCUAAACCACAUGAUAAUCUACGAGUCUGGCACUGAUGGUCUGCAGGUGGCCAUCGCUGAGAUCAAAGAAUAUAAGAAUCAGAUGAGAGAUGAGACCGCGAGACGGAGGCCAUGACCACAGAUAUCAACCAGCUGGAAAUGAGAAUCAAUGCAGAUGUUAAGGAAAGUCUCGCCCCAAGAGGAAGUGGAUCUGACGGAAUUCAGAAGAACCGAAUCCCUGAAACAGCGGCAGUUCAAAGCAGAGAACCAGGAUCUCACCAAAGAGAUCGAACGACUGGAAGGGGAGAUACUUGAACUGAAGAAACAAAUCAGAGGAAUGGUAAAGGACAAAGGUAAAUACCAGAGGUGGGAACAAUUCACCUAUCAUUCGAGUCACAAGGUCCGAGUUUCAAGUCAAGUCCCAUGUAGAACUUGUCAAGUCCAAGUUGUGCAUUCUAAGAGCAAAUAGAGUCGAGUCGCAAGUCAAGUAAAAAAAAAACAUGUAUACAUGCAAUGACUUGUUCAACUACAAAUCAAUCAAUCAAAUGUAUUUAUAGAGCUCUUUUUACAUCAGCCAAUGUCACAAAGUGCUAAAUCUUUGUCUAUUUAUCGAGUCUACCAGACAGCCCUUUUCAUGAGUUUGUCUACAACACAUUUUGAUUAGCCUAUGUAAUUGUGAAAUAGGGACCUUGUAGCAGUCGUAAGGGCAUGAAAUCAGCAGAAGGCAAGGCAGGUUGACAUGCUCAAGUGUGUAGAUUUAUUUACAGGUUUAGUUGAUCCAAUGGUGAAAGUGCCAUAUCAUACAAAAUAUACAAGUAGAUUUACCAAAGAUAUAUGGGCAAUAGCCCAAAAGGAAUAGCCUCUGUAUCAGGCUUAACCUGUACUAUCUGAACGGACACAGGCGAGAGGGCAAAACUCUAAAGCGUCCCCUUGAGACACCAAAUUGAAUCUGUUUAACAGCUCAAACAGGUAGACCUACAUAAUAUAAGCACUUGGCCCCCAGAACCAUAUAAUUACCCAAUUGGCAAAUACAAUCAAUAAACUGGUUCUACAAUGUAAAAGGCAAUUUCCACAUCCUUUGUUACAUUGGUACAUUCAUCUUAAUCAGACGUAAUGAAUCUUAAUGAUAUUUCAACACCAUGUGUAACAGUAUAACUUUAGACCGUCCCCUCGCCCAUACCCAGGCGCGAACCAGGGACCCUCUGCACACAUCAACAACAGUCACCCACGAAGCAUGAUUAUCCAUCGCUCCACAAAAGCCGGGCCCUUGCAGAGCAAGGGGAACCACUACUUCAAGGUCUCAGAGCAAGUGACAUCACAGAUUGAACCGCUAUUUAGCGCGCACCACCGCUGACUAGCUAACCGUUUCACAUCCGUUACACAUGCAUACAUGGGAACAGAAUGAAAAUGACAGGACACAGAACUCCGAGAUAACCUGGGAAAUAUGAACAAAGGAAACCAUACAUUUAAUUAAAUAAACAGAAUUUCUACCUCAUGAGUCUUGUGAACAUUCAUGUGCACAAUAAACAUCGUGCCCACUCAGAGGGUAAGAAAUGGUUGUCUAAAUGAACAUGUAUCGUAGGGCUAUGAAACAAAUGUUUACAUGUUGCAAUAAACGGUACGGGGAUGGAAUGAUGAAACGCUAGCAAUUAUUGUGGUAUUAGAUGGAAUAUAGAUUUACCACAUAAGACCUAUGCAUUUAAACGUGUGAACACAAGAGCAAACAUUUCAGCAAGAUAAAAAAAAGCACUCUCCACUGGACUGAGGUAAAGACAGUUUCAGGUUGGAUAUUCGCCUGUAGUUUUCCUUACGUCCACCAACAACAGUUGGGGAUUGUCAACAUAGUGACAAAUCAAAAUGUUCACAUUUCAAUAGCUCUUUAACCAUUACUCCUGACACUUUCAAAACUGUUUGUAGCUAACCCGAUGGCAUAGACAUUGCACACCCUUUAGUUUGUCAAUUUUUGUCUCACAUGGUUUUACAUGAAUUUAUAGCUCCUUGGUCGUGUGACCUACUGACUUCAAACAAGGUUCAGGAUGUCCACUCAGUGGCCCUACACAUUGCACACCCUUUAGUUUGACCAUUUUCAUCUCACAUGGUUUUACAUUAAUUUUUCAAAAUGUAAAAUUUCAAUAGCUCCUUGGUCAUGUGACCUAAUGUCCGCUGACUACCCUUCUAUAUUGCACACUCUUGUUUGUGUACUGUAAAAUCACGCGGUGUAACGUACAUUUUUCAAGUUUCAAAUUUGCAAUAGCUCCUUGGUCAUGUCAAUUACACACCUAAGAAGCAUGCAGUGGAUAUACACCCAUAUUGCAUAACCUCUAGUCAUGUAUCUUCUAUAUUGUUGUAUAUUAUUAUUAUUAGUUUGACAAUUAGGGGGCUCAGUCCAGUGUUGUUUACCCUUUUCUUCAAUAUUUAUCUACAAUAAUUGGUAGUUCUAAGUACUUAUUUUCCCUUUUUUUUCUUUUUUUUUUUCCACAGUAUAUAACAGCGGUACACAAUAGGAGAGAGACAGAUAAUAUCUCCUUUCUUCGUAAAUGUCAACCAUAAAGGAAAAGGGCAAAGUACGAGAGUCAUGCUAUUAAUUGUCCAACGCAGGAAUGGAGAGUAAGCUAGUGAGGUAGGCUGCAGUGGGUUUGCUGGCCAAGACAUAUACUGAACAUGUAACCACAGUAAUGGUGGCCAGUAAAUCAAUUAAUAAAAAUGUAAUAUUGACAAAUAUUGACAAAUUGAUGUACAUUUCAGAGCCUCUUCAGUGUGGAUGGGGUAUAGCAUACAUUUUCAACAACAGACUGUACUUCCAGUUUGUGUUGUUUACUCUGUUGAACUCUUUUAUCUUCAUUCCUAGGCACAGCACAUAGAACCACCGUUGGCAGGCAAAACAUUCAAUCAAAACAAAACGAUGCGUAGCACGUUAUAAAUAAUAUCAAAUAUCAAUGCAGAAUGACGAAUUAGCCAUCCAUUGUGUUAAAGUGUAUAAUAAAGUGUCUUCUAUGCCGUCACUGUUGUCAAAAGAUUAUAAACAUGUUAAAUAAAGUUACUAACCCAGUCAGUCUUUGGGCCACAUCCAGGUUCUUUAUCAGUGGCACACAUGAAGCAGUUGUUGGCUUUGUUGAACUCUGAAAUCAUAGGCAUGAACUGAACAUAUGGCUGUCCCACACAACUACAUAAAAAUAAACAAUGAACAUUUACUUUGAAUUAAAUGUCAUUACAUACCAGACAUUUAUAGUAUAUCCUCAGCCAUUUCUUUUCGCAGUUGCUCCAUUUAUUUUUGAACGUUCCAUAUCGAUUUGGGAGGGGAUGUUGGGGACGUUCUGUGUAACUUCCUUGGCCAUCUACACCAAAAAAUAAAAUAGAGUUUUUAACCUAAUUGUCACAUAACAGCUAGCCAUUCAUUAUUGAAAAUAUAACUAUCAAACCUGCAUUGCUAAGACCCCACAGCUGAAGGUGUCCUGCUGCAUGGUGUGAGUUACUUCCCCUCCUUUACAGUUUAUGUCCACCCAGUCGUCUUUUCCAUGGCAGGAUCUUCUCUUUUUUUGUAAAAAUAAUGGAUUUAUGAUUUAGUUAUAGGAAAAUGAAUACACAAGCCAAAUGUGUAUGCUGUUUUCCUUAUCACUAUAAUCUAGUAGUAAUUUAUUAGUAGAGGUCAUUUCCUUUAUGCCCAAUUCUACACACAGUCUAAAUUAUAGGCACUGAACCAUUUACAGGACAAUAAAAGUAGCAUAUAGGAUCCAACCCUGUCACAGAGUGAAUAAAUGUACAGUAUUGGCCAAAAGUUUUGAGAAUGACACAAAUAUUAAUUUUCACAAAGUCUGCUGCCUCAGUUUGUAUGAUGGCAAUUUGCAUAUACUCCAGAAUGUUAUGAAGAGUGAUCKGAUGAACUGCAAUUAUUUGCAAAGUCCCUCUUUGCCAUGCAAAUUAACUGAAUCACCAAAAAACAUUUCCACUGCAUUUCAGCCCUGCCACAAAAGGACCAGCCUGACAUCAUGUCAGUGAUUCUCUUGUUAACACAGGUGUGAGUGUUGACAAGGACAAGGCUGGAGAUCACUCUAUCAUGCUGAUUGAGUUCGAAUAACAGACUGGAAGCUUCAAAAGGAGGGUGGUGCUUGGAAUCAUUGUUCUUCCUCUGUCAAUCAUGGUUACCUGCAAGGAAACACGUGCCGUCAUCAUUGCUUUGCACAAAAAGGGCUUCACAGGCAAGGAUAUUGCUGCCAGUGUGAUAAAUCAACUAUUUAUCAGAUCAUCAAGAACUUCAAGGAGAGCGGUUCAAUUGUUGUGAAGGCUUCAGGUAGCCCAAGAAAGUCCAGCAAGCGCCAAGACAGUCUCCUAAAGUUGAUUCAGCUGCGGGAUCGGGGCACUAACAGUACAGAGCUUGCUCAGGAAUGGUAGCAGGCAGGUGUGACUGCAUCUGCAUGCACAGUGAGGUGAAGACUUUUGGAGGAAGGCCUGGUGUCAAGAAGGGCAGCAAAGAAGCCACUUCUCUCCAGAAAAAACACCAGGGACAGACUGAUAUUCUGCAAAAGGUACAGGGAUUGGACUGCUGAGGACUG
ensembl:lncRNA